rnacentral:rRNA from 1 species
AACGUAGGAGACGAACGUUAUCCGGAGUUACUGGGCGUAAAGGGCGUGUAGGCGGUUUGUUAAGUCUGGCGUGAAAGCUCUCGGCUAAACCGGGAGAGGUCGUUUGGAUACUGGCAAACUUGAGGAUGGUAGAGGCGUGUGGAAUUCCGGGUGUAGUGGUGAAAUGCGUAGAGAUCCGGAGGAACACCAGUGGCGAAGGCGACACGCUGGGCCAUACCUGACGCUAAAGCGCGACAGCAUGGGGAGCAAACAGG